rnacentral:rRNA from 1 species
AGCGAACGCUGGCGGCAGGCUUAACACAUGCAAGUCGAAGGUGAAGCCGGACUUCGGUCCGGUGGAAACUGGCGCACGGGUGAGUAACACGUGGGAACCUGCCCCGAGGUACGGAAUAACCGCUGGAAACGGCGGCUAAUACCGUAUGUGCCCUACGGGGGAAAGAUUUAUCGCCUUGGGAUGGUCCCGCGUCCGAUUAGCUUGUUGGUGAGGUAACGGCUCACCAAGGCUGCGAUCGGUAGCUGGUCUGAGAGGACGAUCAGCCACACUGGGACUGAGACACGGCUCAGACUCCUACGGGAGGCAGCAGUGAGGAAUAUUGGACAAUGGGCGCAAGCCUGAUCCAGCCAUGCCGCGUGAGUGAAGAAGGCUUUAGAGUUGUAAAGCUCUUUCAGCGGGGAAGAUGAUGACGGUACCCGCAGAAGAAGCCCCGGCUAACUCCGUG